rnacentral:lncRNA from 1 species
CCUUCUCCCAGCCAAGUCUCCCUCCCCUCCUCUGCCAUACGCUCCCUCGGUGGCUCCUUCUGGUGGUGGGGUAGUUCGGUUGUCGAUAUAAGACAGUCUUUCCCUGACCUCGGACUCCCGAUGGCAACUCUUUCGAUUGUACCAAGAUAAGGGCAAUGGGGGCCCACCCCCCACUCAGCUGGCCCUAACCCAAUUUUUAUUAGAACUAGAUUUUAGUGACCAAAGCUCGGCCCCA